rnacentral:lncRNA from 1 species
CUCUUUUCCUAAAUGUCUAACUUGAAACCCUAAGGAGGUGUGGAGCUAUGGCAUUCUAUUUAUAGAGCCUUAUUUGUGUCACACUAUUUGACACAUGAGCAUAAAGCCCAUGUGUGCUGCACCCCUUCAUCCCUUGACCAUUUUGGGCUACUCUGGUCUACCACAUUAAUUUCAUAAUGUGUCACACUUUGCCUAAGUCUAUAUGGUCCAUUUCUAUAAAUAUUUAAGUUAUGUAGGACCAAAACUAAAGUUUCAUAACUUCAAUAAAUUCAUCAAGCUAAUCUAAUUAGUUUAAUUGAUUUAAUGACUUAACUAAUUAAAUCACUAACUUGUCUAACAAGCAUUGGUCCUAGUCAACCUUAUGUUGACCAUGUCGAGUCUUGGGUCAACAAUUUAACCUUUGACUUUGACUUUUGACUUUGACCAAGCCGUAAAAUCAUUUAUUCUUUUUUAAAUUCUCGAUCCAUACCUUUUUUAUGUGCCAUCUUAUAAGUUCUAAUUAGUGAGGCUGUGGGUAAGAAUGAUUUCUUCUAAAUUGAAUGUGAAUUGUAUCCCUCUAUGCAAUUCUCCCUAUUGGCGAAGGUUAAUGUAAUUAGUUCUUACAGGGCUUCCAUAAACUAUGAGUGACACCUAGCAGUAUGUCAUGGCUACCCAUG